CUAGCUUCAGCGAUGGAUCGGUCGAUUCGCGUAUCGAUGAAAAACGCAGCAAGCUGCGUUAUUUACCACGAAUUGCAGACACUUAGAGUGGUAAGAUUUUGAACGCAUAGCGCCGUUGGGUUUUCCCUUCGGCACGUCUGGCUCAGGGUUGUU
rnacentral:rRNA from 1 species